rnacentral:rRNA from 1 species
AUUGAACGCUGGCGGCAUGCCUUACACAUGCAAGUCGAACGGCAGCACGGGUGCUUGCACCUGGUGGCGAGUGGCGAACGGGUGAGUAAUACAUCGGAACGUACCUUAUCGUGGGGGAUAACGCAGCGAAAGCUGUGCUAAUACCGCAUACGCCCUGAGGGGGAAAGCGGGGGAUCGCAAGACCUCGCGCGAUUAGAGCGGCCGAUGCCUGAUUAGCUUGUUGGUGGGGUAAAAGCCCACCAAGGCGACGAUCAGUAGCUGGUCUGAGAGGACGAUCAGCCACACUGGACUGAGACGCGGCCCAGACUCCUACGGGAGGCAGCAGUGGGGAAUUUUGGACAAUGGGGGCAACCCUGAUCCAGCAAUGCCGCGUGAGUGAAGAAGGCCUUCGGGUUGUAAAGCUCUUUUGUCAGGGAAGAAACACCGGCUCUAACACAGUCCGGGAAUGACGGUACCUGAAGAAUAAGCACCGGCUAACUACGUGCCAGCCGCCGCCGUAA